UGGGGAAUUGUUCGCAAUGGGCGCAAGCCUGACGACGCAACGCCGCGUGGGGGAUGAAGGUCUUCGGAUUGUAAACCCCUGUUGGGUGGGACGAACACUUUCGUGGUGAAUAUCCACGGAGGCUGACGGUACCACCUGAGGAAGCCCCGGCUAACUCUGUGCCAGCAGCCGCGGUAAUACAGAGGGGGCAAGCGUUGUUCGGAAUUACUGGGCGUAAAGGGCGCGUAGGCGGCCUGUUAAGUCGGACGUGAAAUCCCUCGGCUCAACCGGGGAACUGCGUCUGAUACUGGCGGGCUUGAAUUCGGGAGAGGGAUGUGGAAUUCCAGGUGUAGCGGUGAAAUGCGUAGAUAUCUGGAGGAACACCGGUGGCGAAGGCGGCAUCCUGGACCGACAUUGACGCUGAGGCGCGAAAGCCAGGGGAGCAAACGGG
rnacentral:rRNA from 1 species